rnacentral:rRNA from 1 species
AUUGAACGCUGGCGGCAUGCCUUACACAUGCAAGUCGAACGGCAGCACGGGAGCAAUCCUGGUGGCGAGUGGCGAACGGGUGAGUAAUAUAUCGGAACGUGCCCAGUCGUGGGGAUAACGUAGCGAAAGCUACGCUAAUACCGCAUACGAUCUAUGGAUGAAAGCGGGGGAUCGCAAGACCUCGCGCGAUUGGAGCGGCCGAUAUCAGAUUAGGUAGUUGGUGAGGUAAAGGCUCACCAAGCCGACGAUCUGUAGCUGGUCUGAGAGGACGACCAGCCACACUGGGACUGAGACACGGCCCAGACUCCUACGGAGGCAGCAGUGGGAAUUUUGGACAAUGGGCGCAAGCCUGAUCCAGCAAUGCCGCGUGCAGGAUG